GCAUGCACAGCAGCCUCCAAAAUGCCCCCCCCCUGCAGGCAGGUCCUUAGGGCCUAAAAUGGCCUGAAACAGGCCUAAAAUGGCCUGUAAAGGGCAGAAAAUGACCAGGGGCAGUGAGGGGAGGGGUAAAUCAGGAAGAACCCCCCCAUAGCUGUGACAGGGCCCCCUGGAUCCCAGCAAGGUAUUCCCCUGGAGCUGGUGCAAAGUAUCUUUGAUGGUGGAAAUCUUGAAAGAUUGAUACCGGCUGUGACAUUUUCUGAUGACUGACAUAUUGGGUUGGAAAUGCUCAGAGAGAGCGCCGAGAAAAGGGCGAUUUUUAAGGCUCCAGAGAACUAUAGUUGAACCUAGCAAAACUCCAGAGCUUGAAGUGGGAGAGACAUGUACAAUACUGGUCCAAUGUCAUGGGCCCAAACCCACUACCACACCAUGCAGAAGCAGAGGGUGAGAGCUCAGAGGAUGAGGCAUCACCCUGGACUCUGAGUCCCCUGGAGACACCUGCACAAUAUAGCCCUGAGGCUCCCCUCUGGAAACCAGGUAUAUCACCAGCCACAGUGAGGAAAGCUCUGAGGAUGAGGAAACCAAAGAGACACUUGUUCCCAAAGAGCUUCCAUCCAUGCCUUGCCCCGAGGAUACUCCCAUAUCCUCUGACACAGAAGACAACUUUGAUCCUUCUCCAGGGGUUGAAGAAUCGCCUCCUCUUUGUAGGAGACUGUGAUUAAGGAAUAGGGAUUGACCCCUUUCAACAGCCACAGUCUCUGGAAGAGGGGGCAGAGCUACAGACUGUAACCAGCAGCCAGACUAUAUAAGAGCUCAGUCUGCAGUAAGCAGUUGCUGAAGCAACAAGAGUUUUCAAGCACCUAUGUUCCUUCUUUGUCUUGUCUCCUGGCUUUUGACCCUUCAUUUCCCUUGGCCACACUUUCACCUGCUCCUCUAUGCUGUUCCAUUUAGACUCUGGGCUUCUGACCCUUGGCCACAGUCUCGGUCACACACCCUUCCCUUGACAACACACCCUUGUGUACUCCUUCGUAUUGACAACUGGGUUCUGACACAUGGCUGCUAUGGACAACACUUCACAUCUCCUGCUGAGUGGUUCUCUUGGCUCUUGGCUCCAGACCAUCAUCUCAGCACAGAACAUGAUAUCCAGAUGCCCGAACAAUCCAACCCCCUCACAGAUAGUCACGCUUUGUGAUACGGUUGGCAUCCCUUAGUAGUAAGUGCUUCACAGGAAUUGAGCUCAUGUGCAUGGGUGGUAUGUAGCUGAUGUUUGUGGGGAGAACUGUAGAACAAAUGUGCUUACUGACAUAUAUCAAGAGGAAAAUUGGCAGUGGUCCUUUAGAUAUCUACAUAUAAAGUUGUUUAAAAUUGAAUAAGCAAUGCUGCAACUAGACGGCUAUUGUGUACUUCGACUGGCAGCUGCUCUAAAAUAUUUCAGACAAAAGUCUCUUUGGCAGCCCUGUAAUCUCAGGCCAUUUAAAUGAAGAUGCCAGGUAUUGACUUCUGGACUGUCUACAUGAAAAGUGAAGUGUUCAAGAGAAUAUGACCUUUCUCAUGUAGAUCAGUAGAAGAGCACCUGCUUUGCCUUUCCAGAACAUGUGAUGAAUGUCAUUGAGGAUCUUCUCAUGAUCAGUGAGAAGAGCCUGGAGUGGAUUAGCACAUGAGCCAGGCGCCCACACGACUGCCAGCUCUGUUACAGAGGGGGCUGGGAGGAUCAGGGGCUGCACGACCUCUAGAAACUCCAGCAUACCCUGCGCAAGCGCAAAGGGUAUACUGGAGAGCCCCUGAGCCGGGAGGCUGCUUUUUAGCUUCCCAGUCAGGGGUCUACUCAUGAGUUGUCAUGCCACUUGCUCCACUAACCUCGGCUAAGGGCAGGGGCAAUUAAGCAGGUUACCCGCUUGUAAACCACUGGGCCUGGUGAGCCUGGUGGUUUACACAACCAGCAAAAAAUCGGGCUAGGCUCUCCUAGCCUGAUUUUUGCUGGUCGUGAGGAUAGCCCCAUUGUGUUUCUAAGAAAUACAGGAAGACUCGUUUCUUUUUUAUUACAAGUGGGAACUGAGAGCACAGUGGGAGUGGGGUGGGAAGCACACUUUAUUAAAAUUUAGUAAGGCCACUGGGGUUCACAUGAAGUUGCUUCAGGGGCCAUCAUCAGCCCACAGGAUGCCAAGUUGGCCAUCUCUAGACAAAUGCAUUGAGAGAACUUAUGAAACAAACAAAAUAUUAUCCUCAGUCUUGGGGUUCAAAAAGAGUAACCAUAUAAGGUCUCCAACAGCUCCCUGGCAACAGAGCACUCUGAAAUUCACACAUGUAAUUAGAAAUAAAAAUGUACAGUCUUAUAUUUUA